UACGUAGGGUGCAAGCGUUGUCCGGAAUUAUUGGGCGUAAAGAGCUCGUAGGCGGUCUGUCGCGUCGGCUGUGAAAACCCGGAGCUCAACUCCGGGCCUGCAGUCGAUACGGGCAAACUAGAGUACUGCAGGGGAGACUGGAAUUCCUGGUGUAGCGGUGAAAUGCGCAGAUAUCAGGAGGAACACCGGUGGCGAAGGCGGGUCUCUGGGCCUUACCUGACGCUGAGGAGCGAAAGCGUGGGGAGCGAACAGG
rnacentral:rRNA from 1 species